rnacentral:rRNA from 1 species
CAGUCGCCGCGGGAAUACGAAGGGGGCUAGCGUUGUUCGGAUUUACUGGGCGUAAAGGGCGCGUAGGCGGACUGAUAAGUCAGGGGUGAAAUCCCAAGGCUCAACCUUGGAACUGCCUUUGAUACUGUUUGUCUUGAGUUCGAGAGAGGUAAGUGGAACUGCGAGUGUAGAGGUGAAAUUCGUAGAUAUUCGCAAGAACACCAGUGGCGAAGGCGGCUUACUGGCUCGAUACUGACGCUGAGGCGCGAAAGCGUGGGGAGCAAACAGGAUUAGAUACCCGUGUAGUCCCUGUCUCUUAUAA